rnacentral:lncRNA from 10 species
CCGCCUCGGCCUCCCAAAGUGCUGGGAUUACAGGCGUGAGCCACCGCGCUCGGCCAAUUUCGAAGUGUUUUCAAACUACUGCAGCCCUCUCCCAUUGCUGUGGUAACUGGAUGGAAAUGCAUCUAGCAAGAGAAAAUGUACAUAAAGAUUACCUCCCUCCCUGCUCUAGGUUUCUGCAGGUGAGAAGGUGUCGUGAUAGAAUAAUGAACAUUUCCUGUGGGGCUGGCACUGUGUUCUACAUAGAACUCAUUUAAUACAACAACCGUAUAACGAGGAAGCAAGCCAUGUGCAUCAAUUAUCAGGAACGCUUUAAUCCAACUGGGACCCCAAACAAACACCCCGUUUUAAUCCCGGGUGAAGUGAUACAAACAAUUUACAAAGCCUCACGACCCGGCAGCAACCCGAGUCUUACGUGAUCUGGCGAAACUCAUCUGCCUCCUAAGCUCCAACGCCACUGCUUUUCUUUCCCUGUCUCCAGCACUCAGCUCCUUCGGGUCUAUGGCAAUUGUACUUGCUGUUCCUCCUGCCUGGAUUAGUCCUACAGCUUGCCCUGACUGCAUCCUUCUCAUCAUUCAGAUCUCAACGCAAGCAUCACCUCCUUCCUCUGAGGCCUUGGCCUUCAACAUCCCAUUCCCUACCCCACAUCAUUCCAGACUGGAAGCUCUAGAGCUGGCAUUAGAACACUGUCUGGCCCACAAGCCUUCAAUACUUCAACAAAUGCUUGUUGAAUCCAAAAACGCUGAUUACCCUUCAAUCUGCCAGCUCACCCCACUCCCUCUCAAAAUACCUAGGAGAAUUAAUUUACAAAGAAAACAUAAGCAAGCGACAGCGUAACACAUCGACUCAAAACAAAGCCGGUAAUCCGGGGCUGAACUGGUCAACGGCAUUUAAAGAAGGCCCCAAGAAAACCCUUUCCUGAUCGUGCACACACUUUUCAAGAGGCGAAACCAGGGGGACAGGGCGGUCGGCGGCGCAGCGCUGCCUACCUUGAACUCCGCGGAAAGUUGGGGCGUGUAUUCGCGAGUCCAGAGCGCGCGCACCAGCGCCGCCAGCUGCUCGGUGAC